CCUGAUGAGCACCGAGGGGC
rnacentral:misc_RNA from 1 species